AAUCAACGCUGGCGGCGUGCCUAACACAUGCAAGUCGAACGAGAAAGUGGAGCAAUCCAUGAGUAAAGUGGCGACCGGGUGAGUAACACGUGACUAACCUACCUCCGAGUGGGGAAUAACUCCGGGAAACCGGGGCUAAUACCGCAUAACAUCGCAAGAUCAAAGCCGAAAGGCGCUUGGAGAGGGGGUCGCGGCUGAUUAGCUAGUUGGUAGGGUAAUGGCCUACCAAGGCGAAGAUCGGUAUCCGGCCUGAGAGGGCGCACGGACACACUGGAACUGAAACACGGUCCAGACUCCUACGGGAGGCAGCAGUGGGGAAUUUUGCGCAAUGGGGGAAACCCUGACGCAGCAACGCCGCGUGGAGGAUGAAGCCCCUUGGGGCGUAAACUCCUUUCGACCAAGACGAUAAU
rnacentral:rRNA from 1 species